UUGGAUUAAACCCUGAUGCAGCUAUACCGUGUGUGUGAAGAAGGCCUUAGGGUUGUAAAGCACUUUCAAUGGGGAAGAAUUUAAUAUUGCUAAUAUCGAUAUUAAUUGACGUUACCUAUAUAAGAAGCACCGGCUAACUCCGUGCCAGCAGCCGCGGUAAUACGGAGGGUGCAAGCGUUAAUCGGAAUUACUGGGCGUAAAGAGUACGUAGGUGGUUUGUUAAGUCAGAUGUGAAAUCCCUGAGCUUAACUUAGGAACUGCAUUUGAAACUAAUAAACUAGAGUUUCGUAGAGGGGGGUAGAAUUCCAGGUGUAGCGGUGAAAUGCGUAGAGAUCUGGAGGAAUACCAGUGGCGAAGGCGACCCCCUGGACGGAAACUGACACUCAGGUACGAAAGCAUGGGGAGCAAACAGGAUUAGAUACCCUGGUAGUCCAUGCCGUAAACGAUGUCGAUUUGAA
rnacentral:rRNA from 1 species